rnacentral:lncRNA from 1 species
GAUGUCCCAUGAAGACCCCACUGUGGGGAUGGGGACAUCCCAAUGGGACCCCUGCCAUGGGGAUGGGGACGUCCCAUGGGGAUGAGUACAUCCCAUGGGGACCCCACCAUGGGGAUGGAGGGGGACCCCACUGUGGGGAUGGGGAUGCCCCACCAUCCCCCCCACAAUGGAGAUGGGGACCCCACCAUCAACCCUACUAUAGGGCUGGGGACCCUUAGGAUGAGUCCAUCAUGGGGUUGGUGACACCCCAUAGCCCACCUCCCCAUGGGGAUGGGACCCCCAGGUUCAACCCCAUCAUGGGGACAAGGACCUGCCCCCACCAUAACCCGCCAUGGGGAUGGUGACACCCCACAGCCCACCUCCCCAUGGGGCUGGGACCCCCCCCCCCCUCCUUACCGUUGAUGCUGAAGCCCAUGGCGUCCUCGAUCUGGUGGCGGCUGGGCCCGGCGGUGGCCAGCUGGAGGGCGCCGAGGACAGCGGCGGCGCCGUGGGGCGAGAAGGCGGCGUUGCCGUCGCCCCGCCGCCCCGCCGCCUCCCGGAAGAGCCGGAUGCCGAAGUCAGCCGCCAGCCGGGCCACGCGGGCGCCCGCCGGGGUCCCCGAUGUGGGUGCCGUCACCCCCGCCAGGGCCACCCAUGCCAGCGCCACCAGGGCCACCUGCAUCCUGGGGAUGAGAGGGGCCCAGGCGUCCGGGAUGUCACGUCUGGACCAGGCCACCGUGGUCCCUGACACUCCAGGUCAACCCCCUCCUGACUCCCUCCCCAAGGGGCCCAGGCGUCCUGGCCCCCAGCACCCCCCCGCUCCUGCCCGGGGGUCCCCAAUAGCCUCCAGGGCUGGUGCUGCCACCUCGGUGUCACCCUGGUGCUGGGUCCCUGCUCCCUGCCGGUGUCAAACCCAGUGUCACCCUGGUCCCGGUGCUGGUGUCACCCCAGUGUCACCCUCGUGCCGGUUCCCUGCUUCCCCCCAGUGUCAUCCCGGUGCCGGUGUCACCCCGGUGCCACCCCUGGUGCUCGACCCGGUGUCAUCCCCGGUGCUGGUGUCACCCCGGUGCCUCCCGGUGCCGGGUCCCCGUUACCUGUUGGUCUCGGUGCUGCUCUCGGUGCCGGUGCCGCUCUCAGCCGCGGUCUCGGUCCUGGUGCCCCGGUGCCGGUGCUGGUCCCAGUCCGGUCUCGGUGCUGCUCUCAGCCCCGGUGUCCCGGUCUCAGCCUCGGUCCCGAUGUCCCGGUGUC